GGCAAUGAUUGUCCAAACGCAAUUCUUGUGCUAUUUGAUCCAAGAACUGUGUCUGGACAUCAGUGCU
rnacentral:pre_miRNA from 1 species